UACGAAGGGGGCUAGCGUUGCUCGGAAUUACUGGGCGUAAAGGGCGCGUAGGCGGCACUGUUAGUCAGGCGUGAAAGUCCUGGGCUCAACCUGGGAACUGCGCUUGAUACGGCAGAGCUAGAGGAUGGAAGAGGGUCGCGGAAUUCCCAGUGUAGAGGUGAAAUUCGUAGAUAUUGGGAAGAACACCAGUGGCGAAGGCGGCUCACUGGCCCGGUACUGACGCUGAGGUGCGAAAGCGUGGGGAGCAAACAGG
rnacentral:rRNA from 1 species